CUGGCGGCGGCCUAACACAUGCAAGUCGUAGCGGUAGAGAGGUGCUUGCACCUCUUGAGAGCGGCGGACGGGUGAGUAAUGCCUAGGAAUCUGCCUGGUAGUGGGGGAUAACGCUCGGAAACGGACGCUAAUACCGCAUACGUCCUACGGGAGAAAGCAGGGGACCUUCGGGCCUUGCGCUAUCAGAUGAGCCUAGGUCGGAUUAGCUAGUUGGUGGGGUAAUGGCUCACCAAGGCGACGAUCCGUAACUGGUCUGAGAGGAUGAUCAGUCACACUGGAACUGAGACACGGUCCAGACUCCUACGGGAGGCAGCAGUGGGGAAUAUUGGACAAUGGGCGAAAGCCUGAUCCAGCCAUGCCGCGUGUGUGAAGAAGGUCUUCGGAUUGUAAAGCACUUUAAGUUGGGAGGAAGGGCAUUAACCUAAUACGUUAGUGUUUUGACGUUACCGACAGAAUAAGCACCGGCUAACUCUGUGCCAGCAGCCGCGGUAAU
rnacentral:rRNA from 1 species